UAGGGAAUCUUCCGCAAUGGACGAAAGUCUGACGGAGCAACGCCGCGUGAGUGAAGAAGGAUUUCGGUUCGUAAAACUCUGUUGUUAGGGAAGAAAAAAUGUAUAGUAACUAUAUACAAAAGAGACGGUACCUAACCAGAAAGCCACGGCUAACUACGUGCCAGCAGCCGCGGUAAUACGUAGGUGGCAAGCGUUGUCCGGAAUUAUUGGGCGUAAAGCGCGCGCAGGUGGUUUAGAAAGUCUGAUGUGAAAGCCCACGGCUCAACCGUGGAGGGUCAUUGGAAACUAAUAAACUUGAGUGCAGGAGAGAAAAGUGGAAUUCCUAGUGUAGCGGUGAAAUGCGUAGAGAUUAGGAGGAACACCGGUGGCGAAAGCGGCUUUUUGGCCUGCAACUGACACUGAGACGCGAAAGCGUGGGGAGCAAACAGG
rnacentral:rRNA from 1 species